rnacentral:rRNA from 1 species
UACGAAGGGGGGCUAGCGUUGCUCGGAAUCACUGGGCGUAAAGCGCACGUAGGCGGGUUGCUAAGUCAGGGGUGAAAUCCUGGAGCUCAACUCCAGAACUGCCUUUGAUACUGGCGACCUUGAGUCCGGGAGAGGUGAGUGGAACUGCGAGUGUAGAGGUGAAAUUCGUAGAUAUUCGCAAGAACACCAGUGGCGAAGGCGGCUCACUGGCCCGGUACUGACGCUGAGGUGCGAAAGCGUGGGGAGCAAACAGG